GGGCGGGACACGUGGUAUCCUGUCUGAAUAUGGGGGGACCAUCCUCCAAGGCUAAAUACUCCUGACUGACCGAUAGUGAACCAGUACCGUGAGGGAAAGGCGAAAAGAACCCCGGCGAGGGGAGUGAAAAAGAACCUGAAACCGUGUACGUACAAGCAGUGGGAGCACGCUUAGGCGUGUGACUGCGUACCUUUUGUAUAAUGGGUCAGCGACUUAUAUUCUGUAGCAAGGUUAACCGAAUAGGGGAGCCGAAGGGAAACCGAGUCUUAACUGGGCGUUAAGUUGCAGGGUAUAGACCCGAAACCCGGUGAUCUAGCCAUGGGCAGGUUGAAGGUUGGGUAACACUAACUGGAGGACCGAACCGACUAAUGUUGAAAAAUUAGCGGAUGACUUGUGGCUGGGGGUGAAAGGCCAAUCAAACCGGGAGAUAGCUGGUUCUCCCCGAAAGCUAUUUAGGUAGCGCCUCGUGAAUUCAUCUCCGGGGGUAGAGCACUGUUUCGGCAAGGGGGUCAUCCCGACUUACCAACCCGAUGCAAACUGCGAAUACCGGAGAAUGUUAUCACGGGAGACACACGGCGGGUGCUAACGUCCGUCGUGAAGAGGGAAACAACCCAGACCGCCAGCUAAGGUCCCAAAGUCAUGGUUAAGUGGGAAACGAUGUGGGAAGGCCCAGACAGCCAGGAUGUUGGCUUAGAAGCAGCCAUCAUUUAAAGAAAGCGUAAUAGCUCACUGGUCGAGUCGGCCUGCGCGGAAGAUGUAACGGGGCUAAACCAUGCACCGAAGCUGCGGCAGCGACGCUGAUGCGUUGUUGGGUAGGGGAGCGUUCUGUAAGCCUGUGAAGGUGUGCUGUGAGGCAUGCUGGAGGUAUCAGAAGUGCGAAUGCUGACAUAAGUAACGAUAAAGCGGGUGAAAAGCCCGCUCGCCGGAAGACCAAGGGUUCCUGUCCAACGUUAAUCGGGGCAGGGUGAGUCGACCCCUAAGGCGAGGCCGAAAGGCGUAGUCGAUGGGAAACAGGUUAAUAUUCCUGUACUUGGUGUUACUGCGAAGGGGGGACGGAGAAGGCUAUGUUGGCCGGGCGACGGUUGUCCCGGUUUAAGCGUGUAGGCUGGUUUUCCAGGCAAAUCCGGAAAAUCAAGGCUGAGGCGUGAUGACGAGGCACUACGGUGCUGAAGCAACAAAUGCCCUGCUUCCAGGAAAAGCCUCUAAGCAUCAGGUAACAUCAAAUCGUACCCCAAACCGACACAGGUGGUCAGGUAGAGAAUACCAAGGCGCUUGAGAGAACUCGGGUGAAGGAACUAGGCAAAAUGGUGCCGUAACUUCGGGAGAAGGCACGCUGAUAUGUAGGUGAAGUCCCUCGCGGAUGGAGCUGAAAUCAGUCGAAGAUACCAGCUGGCUGCAACUGUUUAUUAAAAACACAGCACUGUGCAAACACGAAAGUGGACGUAUACGGUGUGACGCCUGCCCGGUGCCGGAAGGUUAAUUGAUGGGGUCAGCGCAAGCGAAGCUCUUGAUCGAAGCCCCGGUAAACGGCGGCCGUAACUAUAACGGUCCUAAGGUAGCGAAAUUCCUUGUCGGGUAAGUUCCGACCUGCACGAAUGGCGUAAUGAUGGCCAGGCUGUCUCCACCCGAGACUCAGUGAAAUUGAACUCGCUGUGAAGAUGCAGUGUACCCGCGGCAAGACGGAAAGACCCCGUGAACCUUUACUAUAGCUUGACACUGAACAUUGAGCCUUGAUGUGUAGGAUAGGUGGGAGGCUUAGAAGUGUGGACGCCAGUCUGCAUGGAGCCGACCUUGAAAUACCACCCUUUAAUGUUUGAUGUUCUAACGUWGACCCGUAAUCCGGGUUGCGGACAGUGUCUGGUGGGUAGUUUGACUGGGGCGGUCUCCUCCUAAAGAGUAACGGAGGAGCACGAAGGUUGGCUAAUCCUGGUCGGACAUCAGGAGGUUAGUGCAAUGGCAUAAGCCAGCUUGACUGCGAGCGUGACGGCGCGAGCAGGUGCGAAAGCAGGUCAUAGUGAUCCGGUGGUUCUGAAUGGAAGGGCCAUCGCUCAACGGAUAAAAGGUACUCCGGGGAUAACAGGCUGAUACCGCCCAAGAGUUCAUAUCGACGGCGGUGUUUGGCACCUCGAUGUCGGCUCAUCACAUCCUGGGGCUGAAGUAGGUCCCAAGGGUAUGGCUGUUCGCCAUUUAAAGUGGUACGCGAGCUGGGUUUAGAACGUCGUGAGACAGUUCGGUCCCUAUCUGCCGUGGGCGCUGGAGAACUGAGGGGGGCUGCUCCUAGUACGAGAGGACCGGAGUGGACGCAUCACUGGUGUUCGGGUUGUCAUGCCAAUGGCACUGCCCGGUAGCUAAAUGCGGAAGAGAUAAGUGCUGAAAGCAUCUAAGCACGAAACUUGCCCCGAGAUGAGUUCUCCCUGACUCCUUGAGAGUCCUGAAGGAACGUUGAAGACGACGACGUUGAUAGGCCGGGUGUGUAAGCGCAGCGAUGCGUUGAGCUAACCGGUACUAAUGAACCGUGAGGCUUAACC
rnacentral:rRNA from 1 species